rnacentral:rRNA from 1 species
CCUACGGGAGGCAGCAGUGGGGAAUUUUGGACAAUGGGGGAAACCCUGAUCCAGCAAUGCCGCGUGUGUGAAGAAGGCCUUCGGGUUGUAAAGCACUUUUAUUCGGAGAGAAAUCCCUUGGGCUAAUACCCUGAGGGUCUGACGGUACCGGAUGAAUAAGCGCCGGCUAACUACGUGCCAGCAGCCGCGGUAAUACGUAGGGCGCGAGCGUUAAUCGGAAUUACUGGGCGUAAAGCGUGCGCAGGCGGUUUUGUAAGACAGAUGUGAAAGCCCCGGGCUCAACCUGGGAGUUGCAUUUGUGACUGCAAGGCUAGAGUGUGUCAGAGGGAGGUGGAAUUCCGCGUGUAGCAGUGAGAUGCGUAGAGAUGCGGAGGAACACCGAUGGCGAAGGCAGCCUCCUGGGAUAACACUGACGCUCAUGCACGAAAGCGUGGGGAGCAAACAGGAUUAGAUACCCUGGUAGUCCACGCCCUAAACGAUGUCAACUAGUUGUCGGGAAUUAAAUUUCUUGGUAACGCAGCUAACGCGUGAAGUUGACCGCCUGGGGAGUACGGCCGCAAGGUUAAAACUCAAAUGAAAUUGACGG